rnacentral:rRNA from 1 species
ACGGGUGAGUAAUGCCUAGGAAUCUGCCUGGUAGUGGGGGAUAACGCUCGGAAACGGACGCUAAUACCGCAUACGUCCUACGGGAGAAAGCAGGGGACCUUCGGGCCUUGCGCUAUCAGAUGAGCCUAGGUCGGAUUAGCUAGUUGGUGAGGUAAUGGCUCACCAAGGCGACGAUCCGUAACUGGUCUGAGAGGAUGAUCAGUCACACUGGAACUGAGACACGGUCCAGACUCCUACGGGAGGCAGCAGUGGGGAAUAUUGGACAAUGGGCGAAAGCCUGAUCCAGCCAUGCCGCGUGUGUGAAGAAGGUCUUCGGAUUGUAAAGCACUUUAAGUUGGGAGGAAGGGCAUUAACCUAAUACGUUAGUGUCUUGACGUUACCGACAGAAUAAGCACCGGCUAACUCUGUGCCAGCAGCCGCGGUAAUACAGAGGGUGCAAGCGUUAAUCGGAAUUACUGGGCGUAAAGCGCGCGUAGGUGGUUUGUUAAGUUGGAUGUGAAAUCCCCGGGCUCAACCUGGGAACUGCAUUCAAAACUGACAAGCUAGAGUAUGGUAGAGGGUGGUGGAAUUUCCUGUGUAGCGGUG